rnacentral:rRNA from 1 species
UUAAGUUAUUAAGGGCGCACGGUGGAUGCCUUGGCACUAGAAGCCGAUGAAGGACGUUACUAACGACGAUAUGCUUUGGGGAGCUGUAAGUAAGCUUUGAUCCAGAGAUUUCCGAAUGGGGAAACCCAGCAUGAGUUAUGUCAUGUUAUCGAUAUGUGAAUACAUAGCAUAUCAGAAGGCACACCCGGAGAACUGAAACAUCUUAGUACCCGGAGGAAGAGAAAGAAAAUUCGAUUCCCUUAGUAGCGGCGAGCGAAACGGGAAGAGCCCAAACCAACAAGCUUGCUUGUUGGGGUUGUAGGACACUCUAUACGGAGUUACAAAGGACGACAUUAGACGAAUCAUCUGGAAAGAUGAAUCAAAGAAGGUAAUAAUCCUGUAGUCGAAAAUGUUGUCUCUCUUGAGUGGAUCCUGAGUACGACGGAGCACGUGAAAUUCCGUCGGAAUCUGGGAGGACCAUCUCCUAAGGCUAAAUACUCUCUAGUGACCGAUAGUGAACCAGUACCGUGAGGGAAAGGUGAAAAGCACCCCGGAAGGGGAGUGAAAUAGAACCUGAAACCGUGUGCUUACAAGUAGUCAGAGCCCGUUAAUGGGUGAUGGCGUGCCUUUUGUAGAAUGAACCGGCGAGUUACGAUUUGAUGCAAGGUUAAGCAGUAAAUGUGGAGCCGUAGCGAAAGCGAGUCUGAAUAGGGCGUUUAGUAUUUGGUCGUAGACCCGAAACCAGGUGAUCUACCCUUGGUCAGGUUGAAGUUCAGGUAACACUGAAUGGAGGACCGAACCGACUUACGUUGAAAAGUGAGCGGAUGAACUGAGGGUAGCGGAGAAAUUCCAAUCGAACCUGGAGAUAGCUGGUUCUCUCCGAAAUAGCUUUAGGGCUAGCCUCAAGUGAUGAUUAUUGGAGGUAGAGCACUGUUUGGACGAGGGGCCCCUCUCGGGUUACCGAAUUCAGACAAACUCCGAAUGCCAAUUAAUUUAACUUGGGAGUCAGAACAUGGGUGAUAAGGUCCGUGUUCGAAAGGGAAACAGCCCAGACCACCAGCUAAGGUCCCAAAAUAUAUGUUAAGUGGAAAAGGAUGUGGCGUUGCCCAGACAACUAGGAUGUUGGCUUAGAAGCAGCCAUCAUUUAAAGAGUGCGUAAUAGCUCACUAGUCGAGUGACACUGCGCCGAAAAUGUACCGGGGCUAAACAUAUUACCGAAGCUGUGGAUUGUCCUUUGGACAAUGGUAGGAGAGCGUUCUAAGGGCGUUGAAGCAUGAUCGUAAGGACAUGUGGAGCGCUUAGAAGUGAGAAUGCCGGUGUGAGUAGCGAAAGACGGGUGAGAAUCCCGUCCACCGAUUGACUAAGGUUUCCAGAGGAAGGCUCGUCCGCUCUGGGUUAGUCGGGUCCUAAGCUGAGGCCGACAGGCGUAGGCGAUGGAUAACAGGUUGAUAUUCCUGUACCACCUAUAAUCGUUUUAAUCGAUGGGGGGACGCAGUAGGAUAGGCGAAGCGUGCGAUUGGAUUGCACGUCUAAGCAGUAAGGCUGAGUAUUAGGCAAAUCCGGUACUCGUUAAGGCUGAGCUGUGAUGGGGAGAAGACAUUGUGUCUUCGAGUCGUUGAUUUCACACUGCCGAGAAAAGCCUCUAGAUAGAAAAUAGGUGCCCGUACCGCAAACCGACACAGGUAGUCAAGAUGAGAAUUCUAAGGUGAGCGAGCGAACUCUCGUUAAGGAACUCGGCAAAAUGACCCCGUAACUUCGGGAGAAGGGGUGCUCUUUAGGGUUAACGCCCAGAAGAGCCGCAGUGAAUAGGCCCAAGCGACUGUUUAUCAAAAACACAGGUCUCUGCUAAACCGUAAGGUGAUGUAUAGGGGCUGACGCCUGCCCGGUGCUGGAAGGUUAAGAGGAGUGGUUAGCUUCUGCGAAGCUACGAAUCGAAGCCCCAGUAAACGGCGGCCGUAACUAUAACGGUCCUAAGGUAGCGAAAUUCCUUGUCGGGUAAGUUCCGACCCGCACGAAAGGCGUAACGAUUUGGGCACUGUCUCAACGAGAGACUCGGUGAAAUCAUAGUACCUGUGAAGAUGCAGGUUACCCGCGACAGGACGGAAAGACCCCGUGGAGCUUUACUGUAGCCUGAUAUUGAAAUUCGGCACAGCUUGUACAGGAUAGGUAGGAGCCUUUGAAACGUGAGCGCUAGCUUACGUGGAGGCGCUGGUGGGAUACUACCCUAGCUGUGUUGGCUUUCUAACCCGCACCACUUAUCGUGGUGGGAGACAGUGUCAGGCGGGCAGUUUGACUGGGGCGGUCGCCUCCUAAAAGGUAACGGAGGCGCUCAAAGGUUCCCUCAGAAUGGUUGGAAAUCAUUCAUAGAGUGUAAAGGCAUAAGGGAGCUUGACUGCGAGACCUACAAGUCGAGCAGGGUCGAAAGACGGACUUAGUGAUCCGGUGGUUCCGCAUGGAAGGGCCAUCGCUCAACGGAUAAAAGCUACCCCGGGGAUAACAGGCUUAUCUCCCCCAAGAGUUCACAUCGACGGGGAGGUUUGGCACCUCGAUGUCGGCUCAUCGCAUCCUGGGGCUGUAGUCGGUCCCAAGGGUUGGGCUGUUCGCCCAUUAAAGCGGUACGCGAGCUGGGUUCAGAACGUCGUGAGACAGUUCGGUCCCUAUCCGUCGUGGGCGUAGGAAAUUUGAGAGGAGCUGUCCUUAGUACGAGAGGACCGGGAUGGACAUACCUCUGGUGUACCAGUUGUCGUGCCAACGGCAUAGCUGGGUAGCUAUGUGUGGACGGGAUAAGUGCUGAAAGCAUCUAAGCAUGAAGCCCCCCUCAAGAUGAGAUUUCCCAACUUCGGUUAUAAGAUCCCUCAAAGAUGAUGAGGUUAAUAGGUUCGAGGUGGAAGCAUGGUGACAUGUGGAGCUGAC